ACUCUGGUGCUCUAGGCUUUGUAGGAACCACGCCAACCCAUCCCGAACUUGGCUGUGAAAAUGCAAAGAAGUAAACAAACUAUACGGGGGACUGUAUGGAAACUUUUACUUAGUGCCAGGGU
rnacentral:rRNA from 1 species